AUACUCUGGUUUCUCUUCAGAGUGUCUAAAUUUUUUGCCUUUUGCUAAAGGUUUCCGUGGAGAGGGACAUCUCUGAGUCUUGAACCAAUUUUUGAGGGCGUGCAUUUGUAGGAA
rnacentral:snRNA from 1 species